rnacentral:lncRNA from 1 species
UGCCCUCCUCCAGGGGCUCUUCCCAACCCAGGGAUCCAACCCAGGUCUCCCACACUGCAGGCAGGUUCUUCACCAUCUGAGCCACCAGGGAGGCCCAACAGAGGGAAAGAUCUGCACAUCUGGAGGGGCUCAGAGGACCAACUGGAUGCCACUUGGUGUCUGGGAGGAAACAUGGAGCUAGCUGUGUGCAGAAUGGUUUGAUUCUGAUGCACACAGUUUGAGCAUCUUCCGUAAGGAUGCAUGAAACAGACUCUGUCCAAAAUAAGAAUAUAAUGAAAUAGAAACAAAGUAACAUUCUCGCUGGAAAACUGAUACCCAGCAAAAGGUUUCUGCAAUAAGCAAUGUGAAUAUCUUUGGCUGCAGAUAUUGGCCACAGGGAUUUCUCUUAUUUACAAGUCUUCUCCCUGCUGCCCCAAGUCCCUCACAGCCCCAUCUUUCUUCAGGUCCAGCUGGAACUUCUCUUGCUGAUUCCCAAACACAGUGCCCAAUGACACCCUCAGCUUACUAUGUUGUAGGGUCAGAGGGAAGAUGAAACAUGUUUCUCUUCCCCUAACACCAUUUUGUUCCUGACAGAGCUGGGACUGUGCGUACUCUUGUAGCGUCCUCACCGAGUGAUGCCCCAAACGGGCUCUGCCCAAAUGACUUGUUAGAUCAGUUGGUGAAAUCUCAUUAUGAUCCAAAUCUUUGGAAUGCAGUUUUGUUGUACUGGAAAAAAGAGCUAAAAAAUACAUAUGGGACAGGUCAGCUCCUAGAAGAUCCAUCAGUAGAUGCCAGGAGAAAAGAAGUGCAAGAGCCACCUCAAAGUUCUCUGAGUUCAGUGGGAGUGAAACGCAAACGAAGGAAAGCCAGCUCACACGGAAGCGUCCGCGCGAGGGCCACGCAAAGCAGCACGGGACGGAAGCGGGCAUCUCUGAGGACGCGGCGUCUCAAGGUUCCCACUGUCAAGACGGUCCGGGAGGAAAUGGCCUCGCUAGCCGCACUCCCAAAGUUGGCCCUAGAGAGACC